AAACUUAAAGGAAUUGACGGGGACCCGCACAAGCGGUGGAUGAUGUGGUUUAAUUCGAUGCAACGCGAAAAACCUUACCCACCUUUGACAUGUACGGAAUCCUUUAGAGAUAGAGGAGUGCUCGAAAGAGAGCCGUAACACAGGUGCUGCAUGGCUGUCGUCAGCUCGUGUCGUGAGAUGUUGGGUUAAGUCCCGCAACGAGCGCAACCCUUGCCAUUAGUUGCUACGAAAGGGCACUCUAAUGGGACUGCCGGUGACAAACCGGAGGAAGGUGGGGAUGACGUCAAGUCCUCAUGGCCCUUAUAGGUGGGGCUACACACGUCAUACAAUGGCUGGUACAGAGGGUUGCCAACCCGCGAGGGGGAGCUAAUCCCACAAAGCCAGUCGUAGUCCGGAUCGCAGUCUGCAACUCGACUGCGUGAAGUCGGAAUCGCUAGUAAUCGCGGAUCAGAAUGUCGCGGUGAAUACGUUCCCGGGUCUUGUACACACCGCCCGUCACACCAUGGGAGCGGGUUCUGCCAGAAGUAGUUAGCCUAACCGCAAGGAGGGCGAUUACCACGGCAGGGUUCGUGACUGGGGUGAAGUCGUAACAAGGUAGCCGUAUCGGAAGGUGCGGCUGGAUCACCUCCUUUAUG
rnacentral:rRNA from 1 species